CCCAUGCACAGCCCGUUGUUUCUGUCACUCAGCCCAGCUCCACCCCCUCGCACUCUCCCGAAAUCCGCGUCGAUGCAUCCCAGCAGCGCUGGUGGCGGCAAUGCCGAGGAACGUCGGCAGCGCCUGCGCGAGCAGAUGAAGGCCUUCUACGGCGACCCGAGCGCCUCCGCGAAGCGAACGCCGUCGCACGCGUCCACGCAGGGCAACCCCAACGUGCCACCAGAGCUCGACUUAGACUCGGAGUACUUCAACGUGAACCGCUACACCACCGAUCUGCUGAAGCGCGAGAGUCUUAAAGGAUUGGUCGAGACGGACACGGAGCUGCUGCGCCGCGUACGCCGUCUGGAUGGGGAGCUGCAGGAGCUCGUGUACCGCAACUACGCUCGCUUCAUCUCCGCGACCGAGACGAUUCGGGAGAUGAAGAACAACGUAGUCGAGAUGGACGCGAAGCUGCAGACCCUCUCGCAGAACGUCAACACGAUUGAUAGCAUCUCGAGCCAGAUCAGCCAGCAGCUGCAGGUGCACCGCGGCCACAUUGAGGACACUAUCACUGCGAAUCGCAUGCUCAAGAAGGUGCAGUUUCUCACCAGCCUGCCUACCACGAUGCGCCGGCUCAUCGACAAGGAGGAGUACAGCGUCGGCGUCAAGUACUGGGUGGCUGGCGACGGCUUUCUGUCGAAGCACAAGUCGAUCUCGAGCAUCACACAGAUUCAGGAGAGCUGCUGCGAGCUCGCCAGGGAGCUCUACCGCGCGAUCGAGACGCGCAUGUGCUCCUACCCGCUCGACGACCCUGAUGCGAUGGACCGCCUUCGCGGCUACGUCGAGGACCUGCGCCUCCUGCGCGCCACCUCGCUCUUUGAGUCGGAGAACGUGGCCGAUGAGGCGCCGUUCGAGGCUGCGGUGUUGCAGACCCUCAUGAAGAGCGUCACAGCGAGCUUCCAGGCGAACGUGGCGACUACGCAGCGCAGCCUCAAGGCCGCCCUCGUCAUCCCAGACGACCUCCAGGCCUCCGAAAUGGCGAAGCGGGAGGCGUCGCUGGCACAGGUGAACCUACGCGAGCCGCUGGCACAGCUCAAGAACGCGUGCGCGAUGCUCGCCGUCAACUCGGAGCGCGUGCACGCCCUGCUGGAUGUGGAGGUGUGCAGCAGUAGUGGCAGCAGUCCUGCCGCGCCCCUCGUCGCCAAGUCAAUCGAGCCGGUCCUCCUCGAGGUGCUCCAGCCCAUCUCCCAGUCGCUCGCGGACUUCGCGAUGGUGCACCUGGACGCGAUGGCGAUGGACGGCGCAUUGGCGCUCCGCGACCCCACAGCAAGCGCGGAGGCGCUGCAGGCAGCCACGGUGCACCUCACUCGCUUGCUGAAGCAGCUUGUCACGGCCAUGAAGACGCUGGGUGAGAUCUAUCUUCCUUCCGUGGAGCAUGGUACUGCUGGGGCGAGUGGUAGCGCCGUUCCCGCCGCCCACGACGUCGUGCAGCUGUACGCAAGCAAGGUUCACGAGGUGGCGUGUGGCGUGGUGCGUCAGUGUUGGGAGAAGAUACAGACGAAGCUGCUACAAGGGCCGGAGCCAGAGCUACUCAGGGCGUGUGUGCCGCUUCCCAUACCGAAUUCCAGCGUACUCAGUACGCUACCGGCCGUCGACGAGGAGCGCGCCCGCGAGAUGGCCUUUGUUCUGACUCGCUUCCUCUACGCCUCGUUGGCGCAGUGCCUGUCCACCUCCCUCGGUGCCAACCUCGUCGGCGAAGAGGGCGUGCCGGCGGAGAUGCUGACGCCGAUUACGGCAGGGCUGGAGCAGACGGCGCAGCAGCUUCAGCACCGCGGUAUCGUGCUGCUGGGUCAGUCAGAGGUGCAGCAAGUGUACGACAAGGCAUUCAGUGGCAGCAGCGGGUAUGCCAGCGCAGCGGCGACGACGACCGGGCCGACAGUGCAGGAGGCACUGCUCCUGCUGCUGCCCCAGUGGUCCACCAUGUACGACGCCCUCAAGGCGCUGCCGCCUGUGAAGGCGGCGAGCGCGACGGAGGCCACCAAGGCGGGGGAUGGUGCGUCGUCUCCGCUGAACCGUCGCCGUGACAACAGCGGCUACGGCGGCGGCAAUGCAUACCGCGUGGGUGGGGGCAACAACAUCGGCGCGUACAGCGACGGCACCGGUGGGGGCGGCAGCACUGGUACUCGCAGCGACCACCGCACCGGCGGCGGCAGCGCGAUGGUUGGCGGCUUCUCUCCCCACCCGCGCGGGGGCAGCGGCGGCAGCAAGCCGGCGGUUUCCUACACGCGUCAGGUGAUGUCCACGCUGCAGAUGAGCGUGAACCACAUCUUCGCAAACACGGAUACGUGGCUGCGCACGGAGCCGGUAGCCGGACCGCCGUCGGCGCUGAUGGCGUGCGUCGUGCGCUACGUGCUGCAAGGCAUUCUCGACCGAGUGCGCGACGAGGUGGCCUAUACCGAGGCGCAGUUCCAGCAGUUGCAGGUGAGCUGCACCUUCCUCCUCUACGCCCUCGUAUCACCCGCGAAGGGAUCGGCCCCACGACAGUGGCGCAAGGAGUGGUCGGAGGACGACAUGCGCGAUGUGCAGCGGCUGCUGGACGAGAUCUGCACAUGCGCCUACGACAAGUACGAAGCGAAGGUGCCCCUCUCUACCGCCGUGCUCGACCGAGUCGUCGAGGCCGCCGUGCGUGGCAGUCGAGCCGCACAGGAAUCUGUGAGCAUGAACAGCACCGGCACUGCUAUGGAGACCGGGGCACCAAUGCCUCCUGCCACGACGGUGGCCUUGCGAAGGGAAGAAACGAAGGUUCCUUUACUGGAGCCAUCGCAGCAGGCGCCAGCCACCCCUGCUCACGUCACCCUGCAGCCUCAGCCUCAGCAGCAGCCGCAGGAGGUGUGCCGCCCUCUGCACGAUGGCUCGCUGCAGUCGUCGGCCGCAGCGUCGUCGAAGGAGGCCCCUCCCAGCGCAGCUGCUCCAGCCCCAAACCCGUCGGAUGCCACACCGCCACCGAAGCCCCCUGCCGCCACGUCAGCGCCAACGGCGUCUGCUGCUGCACCCCCACCCGCAUCGGUCACCCCUUCCCCAGCAUCGCCGCCGAUCUCGUCGACUGCUCCCGUGCAAACCUCUGUGGCGCGUCCCUCGGCACCACGGACCGCGCCCGUGGCGUCUCUUCAGCCUGCUGCCGCAGCGCCGGCGGCAGCCAUGUCGCCGCCACAAGUGCGUCGCUCCUCGCACUACAGCAACGAUAGCCACACAGAACGCCUCGCGCGCUUGGAAGAAGAGGAAGAGCUGCCAUUGUAGCACGAAGGAUAUAGUACCGGGCGCAGCUGUGUGUGGCGAGUGAGGCGCGCAGGUGUCGGGCGAGAGGGGCACCCAUACAAGCCCGACUCGGUGGUUCUUGCAUCGCCACGUAGUGGCGGCGGUCGUCGUCGGCGUCGUAGCGCGUGGGCUGGAGCGUGGGCGGUAAGAUGACGUCUUGUAUUUGCUUUCACGGUGCCCCUCUAUUUUCCACCCACCCCUGUGCGUGCGCACAUGUUGGUCUGCGUCCCAUGUGGCAUGGGCUUGGGCUUGGGCUUGGGCUGGUUGCUUGCCUCUCCUGCUACGACCACUUCUCUCGCUCAUCCACACCGUCCCGGUCGCGUGGCGGCCGUGGGGCGUAUUUUCCUUGCAUUUAGCGUUGUCCGCCGUUCUCGUGUCGUCGCGUCUCUCUCCCUCCUUCGGGCUACCGGCUCUGUCCUGUGAGUAGAGCGGGAGGGAGGGGGGUAGAUUCAGGAUGGUGGCAGACGGUCGAGGGCGUGACGCCCGUGUCCGCAUGCCGCUGCGUCUCUCUCAAAGGGUGUGAGAAUGGUCAGCGCCCUCACGUUGCAUCUCUCUGCAUCCGUGCGCACGUUUGCCGGCCUAAAGGACGCGAGCCCGCGUACGAGCACACGCCAC
rnacentral:misc_RNA from 1 species